AUUAAACGCUGGCGGCAUGCCUUACACAUGCAAGUCGAACGGCAGCACUGGGGCAACCCUGGUGGCGAGUGGCGAACGGGUGAGUAAAGCAUCGGAACGUGCCCUGGAGUGGGGGAUAACGUAGCGAAAGUUACGCUAAUACCGCAUAUUCUGUGAGCAGGAAAGCAGGGGAUCGGAAGACCUUGCGCUUUGGGAGCGGCCGAUGUCGGAUUAGCUAGUUGGUGGGGUAAAGCUCACCAAGGCGACGAUCUGUAGCGGGUCUUAGAGGAUGAUCCGCCACACUGGAACUGAGACACGGUCCAGACUCCUACGGGUGGCAG
rnacentral:rRNA from 1 species